rnacentral:rRNA from 1 species
AUACGUAGGGGGCAAGCGUUAUCCGGAAUUAUUGGGCGUAAAGGGUGCGUAGGCGGUCUAUUAAGUCUGAGGUGUAAGUGCAGGGCUCAACCCUGUGAUGCUUUAGAAACUGGUAGACUUGAGUGAGAUAGAGGCAAGUGGAAUUCCAUGUGUAGCGGUAAAAUGCGUAAAUAUAUGGAGGAACACCAGUGGCGAAGGCGGCUUGCUGGGUCUAUACUGACGCUGAGGCACGAAAGCGUGGGGAGCAAACAGGAUUAGAUACCCUGGUAGUCCACGCCGUAAACGAUGAGUACUAAGUGUUGCGAGAACGCAGUGCUGAAGUUAACAUAUUAAGUACUCCGCCUGAGGAGUACGUAUGCAAGUAUGAAACUCAAAGGAAUUGACGGGG